rnacentral:rRNA from 1 species
AGAACGAACGCUGGCGGCAUGCCUAACACAUGCAAGUCGAACGAGACCUUCGGGUCUAGUGGCGCACGGGUGCGUAACGCGUGGGAAUCUGCCCUUGGGUUCGGAAUAACAGCGAGAAAUUGCUGCUAAUACCGGAUGAUGACGUAAGUCCAAAGAUUUAUCGCCCAAGGAUGAGCCCGCGUAAGAUUAGCUUGUUGGUGAGGUAAAAGCUCACCAAGGCGACGAUCGUGUAGCUGGUUUGAGAGAACGACCAGCCACACUGGACUGAGACACGGCCCAGACUCCUACGGGAGGCAGCAGGUGGGAAUUUGGACAAUGGCGAAAGCCUAGAUCAGCAA